UACUUAGGGGGCAAGCGUUGUCCGGAAUCAUUGGGCGUAAAGCGCGCGUAGGCGGCCCGGUAAGUCCGUUGUGAAAGUCAAAGGCUCAACCUUUGAACGCCGAUGGAUACUGCCGGGCUAGAGUCCGGAAGAGGCGAGUGGAAUUCCUGGUGUAGCGGUGGAAUGCGCAGAUAUCUGGAGGAACACCGGUGGCGAAGGCGGCAUCCUGGACCGGUAUUGACGCUGAGGCGCGAAAGCCAGGGGAGCAAACGGG
rnacentral:rRNA from 1 species